AGAGAAAGAGACCACACAAAGGCAUCUAUUAGUUUAAAAUCAUCUCACUAUAUUUGGAGUUUCAUGUGAGUGUGAACAGCAUUGUUUUUAAAUACAAGAGGGAAUCACAGCAUAGAACAACUAAUCCAAGAUCCAAAGACAAUUUGCUGUGGCUAUAUCUGGUGUACUUGGCCUCCAACCUUGAAAUCACAAGAAAAAGUACAAGGAUUUCUGUAACAGAUGGUAGUGUCCACUGAGAUUAAAUCAGUGAAAUCCGCAAGGGUUUAGGAAAAGAUCCUCAAUUUACCAACAUUGAUAUUUACAGAUUUUAACUUUUAACAUGGUAUCUUUAUUUCUUUUCUCGUUUCUGUGAUUAAGACAAAUAAACAUACAGAAUCUCUGACUUAA